GUGCUCACUUUGGCAGCACAUUUAACUAAAAUUGGAAAGACACAGGGAAGAUCAGCAUGGCCCCGAUGCAAGGAUGACAGGCAAAUUUGUGAAGCAUUCCAUAUUUUU
ensembl:snRNA U6 U6 spliceosomal RNA